rnacentral:rRNA from 1 species
GACGAACGCUGGCGGCGUGCUUACACAUGCAAGUCGAACGGAAAGGCCCUGCUUUUGUGGGGUGCUCGAGUGGCGAACGGGUGAGUAACACGUGAGUAACCUGCCCUUGACUUUGGGAUAACUUCAGGAAACUGGGGCUAAUACCGGAUAGGAGCUCCUGCUGCAUGGUGGGGGUUGGAAAGUUUCGGCGGUUGGGGAUGGACUCGCGGCUUAUCAGCUUGUUGGUGGGGUAGUGGCUUACCAAGGCUUUGACGGGUAGCCGGCCUGAGAGGGUGACCGGCCACAUUGGGACUGAGAUACGGCCCAGACUCCUACGGGAGGCAGCAGUGGGGAAUAUUGCACAAUGGGCGGAAGCCUGAUGCAGCAACGCCGCGUGCGGGAUGACGGCCUUCGGGUUGUAAACCGCUUUCGCCUGUGACGAAGCGUGAGUGACGGUAAUGGGUAAAGAAGCACCGGCUAACUACGUGCCAGCAGCCGCGGUGAUACGUAGGGUGCGAGCGUUGUCCGGAUUUAUUGGGCGUAAAGGGCUCGUAGGUGGUUGAUCGCGUCGGAAGUGUAAUCUUGGGGCUUAACCCUGAGCGUGCUUUCGAUACGGGUUGACUUGAGGAAGGUAGGGGAGAAUGGAAUUCCUGGUGGAGCGGUGGAAUGCGCAGAUAUCAGGAGGAGCACCAGUGGCGAAGGCGGUUCUCUGGGCCUUUCCUGACGCUGAGGAGCGAAAGCGUGGGGAGCGAACAGGCUUAGAUACCCUGGUAGUCCACGCUGUAAACGGUGGGUACUAGGUGUGGGGUCCAUUCCACGGGUUCCGUGCCGUAGCUAACGCUUUAAGUACCCCGCCUGGGGAGUACGGCCGCAAGGCUAAAACUCAAAGGAAUUGACGGGGCCCCGCACAAGCGGCGGAGCAUGCGGAUUAAUUCGAUGCAACGCGUAGAACCUUACCUGGGUUUGACAUGGAUCGGGAGUGCUCAGAGAUGGGUGUGCCUCUUUUGGGGUCGGUUCACAGGUGGUGCAUGCCUGUCGUCAGCUCGUGUCGUGAGAUGUUGGGUUAAGUCCCGCAACGAGCGCAACCCUUGUUCACUGUUGCCAGCACGUUAUGGUGGGGACUCAGUGGAGACCGCCGGGGUCAACUCGGAGGAAGGUGGGGAUGACGUCAAGUCAUCAUGCCCCUUAUGUCCAGGGCUUCACGCAUGCUACAAUGGCUGGUACAGAGAGUGGCGAGCCUGUGAGGGUGAGCGAAUCUCGGAAAGCCGGUCUCAGUUCGGAUUGGGGUCUGCAACUCGACCUCAUGAAGUCGGAGUCGCUAGUAAUCGCAGAUCAGCAACGCUGCGGUGAAUACGUUCCCGGGGCU